AGGAGUCAGUGUCUCAAUUAAUAAAGAUCUGUUUCACUAAUGGAAAGUCCUGAAUGAAUGAUUCAAUGACAAAUGCUUUUUAAACGGACCGUUGUCGCCACCUGCUGGAAGAAGAGGAUAAACGUUACAAUACAUACACCGGUCAAAGGUCACCUGAUAGGGAAUGAUCAUCUAAAGCUUGCUAAAGAGUCAUUAUUAAAGCAGUUUGUGUUCAUUUGAGUGUGAAGGAGGUUUUUUGUACGACGCUUUCACUAGAAUGAAGCACUGUGGUGGACUUUUGGUGGAGGAACUAAACUGACGAUCAGAACUGGUCCCUCCGUGAAGCCCUCCGUGUCUCUGCUGCCUCCCUCUUCUCUGCAGAUCUCUGGAGACUCAGCCGCACUGCUCUGUCUGCUCAGCUCUUACUCUCCACAGGGGGCGCAGGUGAGCUGGACGCUGGACGGGUCAGAGGUCACCGAGGGGGUUCAGACCAGCGCAGAGAGCGAGCGGGACGGACGCUACAGCCGCAGCAGCGUCCUGAGCCUCAG